UACGGAGGGUGCAAGCGUUAUCCGGAUUCACUGGGCUUAAAGGGUGCGUAGGCGGGUUGGUAAGUCAGUGGUGAAAUCUCCAGGCUUAACUUGGAAACUGCCAUUGAUACUAUCAAUCUUGAAUACCGUGGAGGUCAGCGGAAUAUGUCAUGUAGCGGUGAAAUGCUUAGAUAUGACAUAGAACACCAAUUGCGAAGGCAGCUGGCUACACGAAUAUUGACACUGAUGCACGAAAGCGUGGGGAUCAAUCAGG
rnacentral:rRNA from 1 species